CGGACGGGUGAGUAACGCGUAGGUAUCUAUCGUCCGGGUGGGGGACAACCGUGGGAAACUACGGCUAAUACCGCAUGAUGCCCGAGGGCCAAAGCAGCAAUGCGCCUGGAGAGGAGCCUGCGUACGAUUAGCUUGUUGGCGGGGUAAUGGCCCACCAAGGCGACGAUCGUUAGCUGGUCUGAGAGGAUGAUCAGCCACACUGGGACUGAGACACGGCCCAG
rnacentral:rRNA from 1 species